AUGUCCUCCGAGCCUCAUGAGAUCAUUAUGGCAGACGCUUCUGCGCCCACUUCCACUAUGACAGUUGGUUGUACAGUAUCUCUAGACAAGGCGAAGGCUAGUGGCAGUGGUGUCGAUGGUGAGGUGCAAGCAGCACAAACAGAGAAGAGGGAUGAUGGGAAAGCUGAAGUUGUUGAGGUUGAAAAGAAAGAUGGGCGAAGGCAGAUGGCUUCGAGAUCAGAGAUGUGGAACCACUUUGAAAAGGUCAUUAUUAAUGGUGUAUUGCAGAAGGGAAAAUGCAACUACUGCAAGAUUGACAUCAACGCUCAUCCCGUCAUCAAUGGUACAUCAGCUUUGCGCAAACAUUUUAAUAUUUGCAAGCGUAAUCCCCAUAGGAAUAUUGGUGAUGAUAAGCAAGCUGUGCUGCAAGUUAAUCAGGGUGAUAGUGUACAUUCUUGGAAAUUUGAUCAUGAUGCUAUUAGGGCCGCUUUUGCUGAAAUGAUAAUAGAAGAUGAGCUCCCAUUUGCAUUUGGUGAAAAAUCUGGGUUUAAAAAGUUCAUGUCUAAAGCCUGCCCACGUUUCUCAGUUCCAUCUAGGAGAACAUGCACUAGGGAUGUUGUUCGCGCAUAUUUUGAACAAAAGGCUAAACUGAAAAUUUUCUUUAAAGAACAAUGUGAAAGAGUGUGUCUCACAACUGAUGGUUGGACUUCUCAACAAAAAGAUAGCUACAUGACUGUUACUGCCCACUUCAUUUGUAAGGAAUGGAAACUCCACAAGAAAGUCAUUAGCUUUUUCAAGGUUAAGGGUCAUAAAGGAGAUGAUAUUGGGAAACACUUGCAGAAAACUUUGAUCGAUUGGGGGAUAGAGAAGGUCAUGACCAUUACUAUUGAUAAUGCUAGUAACAAUGAUGGUGGUAUUGGUUACAUGAAAAAGGAACUGAAUAAAGCUAAGACUUGCAUAGCUGGAGGCAAGUUUCUCCACAUGAGGUGUGCUGCCCACAUUGUCAACUUAAUAGUUACAGAUGGUCUAAAAGAAGUUGAUACUUCAAUCAAGCGUGUGCGUGCAGCUGUUAGAUAUGUCAGAAAUAGCCCAAGUAGGUUGACUAAGUUCAAAGAAUGUGCAGACCUUGAGAAGGUUAACACCAAGGCCUUCUUGAUUCUUGAUGUGAGCACUAGGUGGAACUCGACAUACUAUAUGUUGAAGGCUGCUGUUAGUUAUGAGAAAGUUUUUGCAAGGUAUGCAGAUGAAGAUCCUUACUUUGCAAUUGAUCUACUUACUGAUAAAGGUAAGGAGAAGGGUGUUGGAGUUCCAGAUGAGCAGGACUGGGAGAAUGUCAAGAAGAUGGCGAUAUUUCUUGCUCAUUUUGCGGAUCUAACAACUCGUGUUUCUGCCUCAUUGUAUGUGACUGCUAAUAGCUUUUUCCAUGAGAUUGGUGAGGUGAAUAUGUUAGUGAAAAGUUGGAUGGAAAGUGGGGAUGGUUUGCAAAUUGCAAUGGCAGAGAGGAUGAAGGAUAAGUCUGAUAAAUAUUGGGGAAAUUGGCAUGAGCUCGAUACCAGCAAAAAGGGGAAGGAAAAGGAGAACUUCAACUUGCUGAUUUUCAUUGCAACGGCACUUGAUCCAAGGUACAAGCUUACAGAAUACACACAAUUUGCCAUUUUAGAAGUGUAUGGAGAGGAGAAAGGGCCUAAGGUGUGGGCUGCAGUCAGUACGUGUCUUCGAGAUUUGUUCGAGGAAUAUAGGAUGAUGUAUGCUCCAAAUGUUGCAUCACCUCUAAGUAGUGCUUCUCAGGAAGUUGAAUCAACUGGAGGGCGUGCAAGCAUGAUGAGAUCCAUGAUUGCCAAAAAAAUGAGGCUGAACAGUGGUGGUAGCAGCAGCAGCAAGUCUGAGCUGGACAAGUUUCUUGCUGAGGAGCCUGAAGAUGAUGGCCCAAAAUUUGACAUAUUAGAUUGGUGGAAGGUUAACUCAUCUAGGUUUCCUAUAUUGGCAUGCUUGGCACGGGAUGUUUUGGCAGUCCCCAUCUCGACUGUUGCAUCCGAGUCUGCGUUCUCUACUGGUGGGUGUAUUCUCGAUGAAUUCAGAUCUUCUCUGACUCCAUUCAUGGUUGAAGCCCUUCUGUGCACUCAGGAUUGGCUUCGAUAUGGUACUCAUCUCAACAUAGUAGAGAACACUGAAGAAUUGACCAAGCUUGAACAAGAGUUAAUUGCGGAAUAUAAGGAGAAAGUGAAGCUCCAAAGCAAUGACAAGCCUCCCACCACCGCAAAGCCUACUUAA
rnacentral:rRNA from 1 species